GCAGCCUUGAACAGAGGCUGAGAUGUCCUCCUUGUCAGGCUUCUAACUGGGUCAACCUGAGUGCUGCUCCAGCUCAGGGUACUAUGCCUGGUAACCAAAAUAUAACACCUGUCUCACAAGCUGUUUGCUUCAUGAAAUAAGAUGAGAAAACAGAAGACAAAGAAUGUAAACAGUUUGCCCAAGAAUCUAGCCAAGAAGUGGUGGACCUAGAUGGAACAAUGCCAGCUCUAAAGCACACACUUGGAUCUACUGACUCCUAAAGGUCCCCGGGUCCUUACCUACAAUUCCAAACUCCAAAAAGCUCUGAAAACCACAAGUUCUUCUAACUUAUUUAACAGUAGACCUGGAUUUGACCUGAAUUAUUCAGCAGCAAAAAGUCUUCUGAACUGACUUGAGGUUACUUCUAGUUUUUAUUUGUCCCAUUUGAUGUAAAUACUCAUACAUUUUCACAGAAAAAUAUAUCAGUUUGCUUGUUUGAUCGUGAGGUUCUGUCCCAAUUGCUGCUGGGAAAUUAAAUUAGAUAUUCUUUAUAAAAUUUGGACUUCCUGAAUUCUGAAACCCCUCUGGCUGCAAUCAUUUCUUUGUAGCUUUGUGGACCCAUGCUUUCUUUCCGGAGCGGACUCUCAACAGGAGUUUGAUGACACCAAGGUUGCUUUACAAUUCACAAAUGCAAUUAGUUUAUCUGUUUCUAAAUGUAUUUGUCUGGGCAUUCAUUUAACAGAUACUUACAGCAUGCCUGCUGUGUACUAAGUCCCAUUUUAGGCGCUGUAAGCAGAGUGAGCCAAAUACAUGUUUUCCUGGCCCACAUAAAGCUUAUAGUCUAAGAGAAAUAAUAACAGGGGAAAAUAAAAGGACAACAUAUUUUCACAAUAGGGUGCUAUGAACCAGAGUGGAUAAGGAUGCCCUGCAUUUUCCUAUGUCUCUAGGCACAUACAAUGGAAACUAGUAUAACCUUUAAUAAUGAAGAAAUAAAAGAAUUUGGGAGAAAAAAACAACAACCCAUAAUUAUUCUAAGAGAGUAGGAAACCGUGUGCCUUGAAAUAUUGCAGUAAUUAUCAGGUUAAAUUUCUAUGAUCGCUGCAAUUUCUAUGAAACCUAGAAAUGUUGGGAGCGUAGGCCUGGCAUAUCUCUUAAAGCAAAAUUAUACUUCUUUUUCAUUCAGACUAAAAGGUCAUAAUUAAAGAUAUAAUGAAGCUAAGUGAGUAAUGGGAUCUGCAAUUCACUGGGGAAGUGCAGGAUGCAUGAAGGCCUCCUCCUAUCCCUGAAUGGGGGUCACCAAGUCAGAUGGCCUUGGGAAUGCCACAGAGUCUAGAACCCUCA
rnacentral:lncRNA from 10 species